CACGUAGGGUGCGAGCGUUGUCCGGAAUUAUUGGGCGUAAAGAGCUCGUAGGCGGUGUGUCGCGUCGGCCGUGAAAACCUGGGGCUUAACUCUGGGCGUGCGGUCGAUACGGGCAGACUAGAGUGCGGUAGGGGAGACUGGAAUUCCUGGUGUAGCGGUGAAAUGCGCAGAUAUCAGGAGGAACACCGAUGGCGAAGGCAGGUCUCUGGGCAUUAACUGACGCUGAGGAGCGAAAGUGUGGGGAGCGAACAGG
rnacentral:rRNA from 1 species